rnacentral:rRNA from 1 species
AUUGAACGCUGGCGGCAGGCCUAACACAUGCAAGUCGAACGAGUGGUGGACGGGUGAGUAAUGUCUGGGCAACGGCCUGAUGGAUGGGGAUAACUACUGGAAACGGUAGCUAAUACCGCAUACUGUCGGUUGUUCCCAGGUGGGUAUAGCUGGUUGGUGGGGUAAAGGCUCACCUAGGCGACGAUCCCUAGCUGGUCUGAGAGGAUGACCAGCCACACUGGAACUGAGACACGGUCCAGACUCCUACGGGAGGCAGCAGUGGGGAAUAUUGCACAAUGGGCGCAAGCCUGAUGCAGCCAUGCCGCGUGUAUGAAGAAGGCCUUCGGGUUGUAAAGUACUUUCAGCGGGGAGGCGUUACCCGCAGAAGAAGCACCGGCUAACUCCGUGCCAGCAGCCGCGGUAAUUC